rnacentral:lncRNA from 1 species
UUGGAAGUUAUGGCCAAAAUACGGAGGGGCAUACGGUAGCACCACUUAUUCCGAUGCUAAAAAAUACAUACCAUCGGAACAUCCGAUGGUACACUUUAACUAGUCAUUGGAGCAACAGCUCUUAGAUGCCUUAGGCUAUUUAUACCCCCUCCACUCGUCCAUUUGAAGUUGCUAGAGUAUGUAGGAGUCCAUUGGAGUGCAAGGCACAUCAAGAACAUAUCCAAGCCACCAAAAAUGCAUAAGUGAUUAAUGCUAGGAUAGGUCUAGAGAGGAGAGAGUGCAAGGUGUGCUUGCCUUAUGAUCGGUUCAAGGAGUGAAUCACAAGUGUACAAGGUGUACCGACGCUUUGGAGCCUUGGUGGCUCAUCGGCAACUCUUCGACCCUCCGACUUGGUAUGGAGUGGCGUCGACAACCAUGAGUGGGGAUGAGGAGACCUCCUCCUUCGUGGAGAAGCUCUGUAGUGAAUACGGCGUCAAGGUGACCGGAAGAAAGGG